GUGGGGACAGGGACAAGUUCACGGCCGCGUUCAGUCAAUAAAACUCUCUGGGGAGCGGGACUUUGGCUGGGAGAUGCCGGGGGGACAGGGACGUCUCGUCACACACCACGUCCUACUAGCCCCAGGCAGUGGUGGGUGCGCUGUGUGUCCCGGGGCUGGCUGAACUCUCCUUCCGUUUAUGGCCCCUGCCGCCUUAGGAGAGCCCCGGGUGUCCCUCCAUUUCUCACGUUUCCAUCUUCUUCCGUGCUGCCCUUCACCCCUGCAGCUCCCCUCACAACCUCCCUCUGGCGCCUCCACAGCCCCCUACACGCCCACACUUCUUGCAUGAAGCGCUUCCUGGACACCAACUUGGCGGCAUACAGAGCUGCAGGAGGGACAUUCUGUCAGGAGCAGCAGCUAGGCCAGCACCUAAAGGAGAUCAGUGCCUGGAUGAAAAGCAGCCACCUGAAGCUAACCUCUGAGGAAAUGGAAGUGACAGUGGGAAAGUGAGUCUCUUUGAAAAUCUACCCAAAACCUGCUCAUCAGCCUCAGAAAAACUCUAGAUUUACCCACAUCAAGUCAAAUAUGCUUCUGUUACUGAUUCCAGAGGGUCUACUUAUGAGUAAGUGCUAAAACAAUGGAGAAGACCUGUGCUGCUGAAAUAAGAGGGUCAAGUUUUGUCUCCAUUGUUGCUGAGAAGUUUGAGCAUCCACAGAGCUGGUGAGCCUGCUGUUCUUGAGAGAAGGGAAUCAAGAUUUCCAGGGCUAGCAUGAAUGGAGAGGGAAAUGCUUUCACCUGAAAGAUGUGCAACGUUGAAGAAUUUCCUAUCUGGUCUUUUAUGGAGAUGUACACCCUCAAUGCCAGAUGAGAAAGCAUGAUGAAGCAUCAGAGAGAAGGAUAGACUAAAGAGUGCUGUUGCCAGAACACGCCCCUGUUUGAUAUCGCUGUGGAUUUUGAAGCUAUCAGAUUUAUCACCAUCCUACUGGAUGGCAGCCUUCAUUCCAUCAUGGAAGGUCUAAAUCAAACUGAUGAGAAGUGGGGGGCAACCAACUAACUACUGGAAAAGAUCCUUUCUUCUGGCCAGGUCAGAAGACCUUGUAAGAUCUAUAAAAGCCAUGCAGAGAAGUCUUUCUUGUUCUUGACAUUUUUCUUGUAGUUGCCUUACUAUGAAGGCUGUGUUGAUAACUGAUCUACUGGCACGGAACCUGCACUGACUCUCUGGAUAUAAACGUUCAGCAAGAACUUGCUGUCUUUUGAGAAAGACCCAUCAGAAUUCCUUGCCAGCAACACUAAGUAGAGAGAUUCCUUUGUAGUUGUUGCAAUCAUUCCGAUCUCCUUUGUUUUUAUACAGCUUUAUGAUGUUGGCUACUACCUGACACUUUCUCAACAGUGGAUUUGAUUCAGGGUUUUCUGCCAUAACUUUUGUUCAGCCAAGAACUAGCUGAAAGGCAGCAGUGCCAGGAGUUACUCCUUUGUGGAUAUUAUUUUCCAUUCCAGCAAAAACCCCACCACUCAGUGAGUAGUUGCCUUAACUGUAUGAGAUUUUGUGUUACAUGGUACCAGUAGGAGGCCUCACAUGCUUGACCUGACCCAGGCCUUUUGUUUAUAGACCAGAUUAUAAUAUAAAAAGUAAGCAUGAUUUUGAAAAUCUGUAACCUAUUAAAUUGAUAUUUGCAUAAGUAAUUACAAAUCCGUGAUAUAAGCAUAAAGUGAAUGAUCAAACUGCUUGUUGUCUUACUACAUUUUAUAGGGCUAACAGCUGUCCUAUUGUAAGUUGUUUUAUUCUUACAUACAAAUUUCUGGUCUAUUUGGUCUGUUACAGCCAGCAACUGAACUGUGAGUGGGUGUGGAGCCACUUUGGCCCACAUCAAUCCCCAGCGGUAUCCUGGCUGAAUCAACCAAAAUGCCUCUGGGAGUGUUAGGAGAACAAAUCAGAGAAGGAGCCAAGAAGCCCUUUAAAAUACAGCAAUCCAUGUGUGCCCUUAAUCAGCCCUGCUCUAUAGCCUAAUGGGGCUGAAGUGGGGAACAUUAUCAUCUUGGGAAUAUUGACAGCACCAGUUAGCUUCAGUCCUUCCAAGCCAAAAACACUGGGACUAGGACUGUGGUUCCCCCUUACAGAAGAAAUGCCCAGAGGGGGAAAGAGUCCGUGUGGAUGUAGCUGGAAUCUAUUGUUUUGGCAGGAAAUGGAUAAACCUUUGCACCAGUAAAUCAUGUUUCUAUAAAGAGUAGUGUCCACAUAAUUUUAUAAACACAAGAGCGUUGGAAAGAGGCUGAGGGUAAAAUACAAAUGGUCAAAUGUUCUGUAAAUAAACAGAACUAAGCUGGUAUCAAGCUAUGCAUUAGCCAGCAGUGUAGUGAGAACCUCUUCUCACUGUCUCCUCCUCCUCUUGCAUACUGUCGGAUACACCUACUUGUUGCAUCUUAAAGUGAGUCUGUAA